UCGGCUCCUUGUCUCAGAAGCAACUGUCACGCUGAGCCUAAUUGCUGGAGAUGGUUGACGGCUCUGGGUGGACAGCCUCCUGAAGUUGGUUUUUGGCCCAUGGUCAAUUAUUUGGGCUUCUGUGCAGUGGGGAUAUAAGGAUGAUUAAGAUCCGCAGACAACCCAACAGCCCUUGUUUACCAUUAACUUCCUUCUUCUCGGCAGCCGAGUUUCUCCAGGCACCGGAGGCAGCGAGGUGCGGUGCGAGCCUGUCUGGGUUGGGACCUCAGCUCUUCCCCCCACCCGUGUGCUAUAUGGCUACAGUCACGGAGGGUGUCGCAAGCUAUGGUCCUCCUGGAGUGCCUUUCUCCUUCUUCUCUGCCUAAUCCGUUCCUACCUACCCUCCACACACUGGCUGAACGAAUGGACAUGCACAGAUCAGCUGCAAAGAGCAACCUGAUCCCAGAACCUCGGCUCCCAUGACUGGUGUGAAACAUGAACAGAAAAAUGGAAGGAAGCCUGCCGACACAGACACUCUAGAAGCUGAGCUCUGACAAAGAAUGCUGUCGGCAGUCCCGAGCCACACGUCUUCAAGGAAGAAUGAAGUCCCGGUGCUUUUGGAGCAGAAGAGGACUUUCUAGAAGGACACACCGAGGACUGGUGAGUUUGGAGGGACUUGCCUUGCUAGCAGAGGACAAAAUCAGGUCUCAGGUCCAGGUUCGUAAAUGUAAUUUCAACUCUUUGCACCAGGUGCUACCACUGUCAAUCUCCUCGGCGCUCAGCAUCCUCUUGGCUUCUUCCUACAAGACUGGGGACCCUUCCCUGAGGACUCGUUGGCUGCAGAAGCUUGCUGUUCUAUCACAGGACGGGCCGAAAUGCCAGACAGUGUGCAACCCCAAACAUUGAGAUGGGGAGCUGGCGUAAAUAUCACACCUCGCAUGCUACUCAUGGGGAGGGGGCAGCUCUGAGUCGUCAACCUCACAGAGGUCCGCUGCGAGGCUGUACUCAGGUGCCCAGUUCAGCCAUCGGUUCAUUAAUGUGAGCUGUGCUAAAUCCUGUCCUUUCCUGGCUCUCUGCUGUGCGCCUCCAAUUGCGUUUCCUGGGAUCCUGUCCCAAAUAAGCCACUUGAACUCAGAACCCUGUCUCCAAAUUGGCUUCUGGGGCAAUCCACCUGCAAAUGACUUUCUUUUUAUUGUACUCAAGUGAUUUAAGGAGAGGAGACUCUGGCUCCUAGGAUAAGGACACUACAGAGAUGACAUCUCCAGGAUAUGACUCCUUUGAGCAGAUGGCAAAUCAUCUUUCCAUUGUUGUCCAGUGGUUACAAUAGCUGAUAGGAGAUGUUACGCUGCCAUUCUUUUCUUCAAUCCGUGAUGUUUAUUGAUCUUCUACGCUGGUCAGGCAUGGGCUGGACACUGGAUGUGUAGACUGGGUCAGAGCCUUCAAGGCUAGCAGGAGGAUGGCAGUAUUUAUUCACUCAUACAUUCGUAUACUUUCAUGUAAUAAAUCUCUAUUGAGGGCC